rnacentral:piRNA from 1 species
UUGGCCUUGAUGUCUGUACUGCUGAGCCA